rnacentral:rRNA from 1 species
CCUACGGGAGGCAGCAGUGAGGAAUAUUGGUCAAUGGACGAGAGUCUGAACCAGCCAAGUAGCGUGAAGGAUGACUGCCCUAUGGGUUGUAAACUUCGUUUAUAUGGGAAUAAAAUGUUCCACGUGUGUGAUUUUGUAUGUACCAUAUUAAUAUGGAACGGCUAACUCCGUGCCAGCAGCCGCGGUAAUACGGAGGAUCCGAGCGUUAUCCGGAUUUAUUGGGUUUAAAGGGAGCGUAGGUGGAUUGUUAAGUCAGUUGUGAAAGUUUGCGGCUCAACCGUAAAAUUGCAGUUGAAACUGGCAGUCUUGAGUACAGUAGAGGUGGGCGGAAUUCGUGGUGUAGCGGUGAAAUGCUUAGAUAUAACGAAGAACUCCGAUUGCGAAGGCAGUUCACUGGACUGCAACUGACACUGAGGCUCGAAAGUGUGGGUAUCAAACAGGAUUAGAUACCCGUGUAGUC